rnacentral:rRNA from 1 species
GAUGAACGCUGGCGGCGUGCCUAAUACAUGCAAGUCGAGCGAACGGACGAGAAGCUUGCUUCUCUGAUGUUAGCGGCGGACGGGUGAGUAACACGUGGAUAACCUACCUAUAAGACUGGGAUAACUUCGGGAAACCGGAGCUAAUACCGGGUGAUAUUUUGAACCGCAUGGUUCAAAAGUGAAAGACGGUCUUGCUGUCACUUAUAGAUGGAUCCGCGCUGCAUUAGCUAGUUGGUAAGGUAACGGCUUACCAAGGCAACGAUGCAUAGCCGACCUGAGAGGGUGAUCGGCCACACUGGAACCGAGACACGGUCCAGACUCCUACGGGAGGCAGCAGUAGGGAAUCUUCCGCAAUGGGCGAAAGCCUGACGGAGCAACGCCGCGUGAGUGAUGAAGGUCUUCGGAUCGUAAAACUCUGUUAUUAGGGAAGAACAUAUGUGUAAGUAACUGUGCACAUCUUGACGGUACCUAAUCAGAAAGCCACGGCUAACUACGUGCCAGCAGCCGCGGUAAUACGUAGGUGGCAAGCGUUAUCCGGAAUUAUUGGGCGUAAAGCGCGCGUAGGCGGUUUUUUAAGUCUGAUGUGAAAGCCCACGGCUCAACCGUGGAGGGUCAUUGGAAACUGGAGAACUUGAGUGCAGAAGAGGAAAGUGGAAUUCCAUGUGUAGCGGUGAAAUGCGCAGAGAUAUGGAGGAACACCAGUGGCGAAGGCGACUUUCUGGUCUGUAACUGACGCUGAUGUGCGAAAGCGUGGGGAUCAAACAGGAUUAGAUACCCUGGUAGUCCACGCCGUAAACGAUGAGUGCUAAGUGUUAGGGGGUUUCCGCCCCUUAGUGCUGCAGCUAACGCAUUAAGCACUCCGCCUGGGGAGUACGACCGCAAGGUUGAAACUCAAAGGAAUUGACGGGGACCCGCACAAGCGGUGGAGCAUGUGGUUUAAUUCGAAGCAACGCGAAGAACCUUACCAAAUCUUGACAUCCUUUGACAACUCUAGAGAUAGAGCCUUCCCCUUCGGGGGACAAAGUGACAGGUGGUGCAUGGUUGUCGUCAGCUCGUGUCGUGAGAUGUUGGGUUAAGUCCCGCAACGAGCGCAACCCUUAAGCUUAGUUGCCAUCAUUAAGUUGGGCACUCUAAGUUGACUGCCGGUGACAAACCGGAGGAAGGUGGGGAUGACGUCAAAUCAUCAUGCCCCUUAUGAUUUGGGCUACACACGUGCUACAAUGGACAAUACAAAGGGCAGCGAAACCGCGAGGUCAAGCAAAUCCCAUAAAGUUGUUCUCAGUUCGGAUUGUAGUCUGCAACUCGACUACAUGAAGCUGGAAUCGCUAGUAAUCGUAGAUCAGCAUGCUACGGUGAAUACGUUCCCGGGUCU